rnacentral:misc_RNA from 1 species
CCUCCUUAACGAGAACUCAGUAGCCUCUCGGUAAAGUGCCUACCUCUAUUACUUGAUCCUGUAGAUUUUUAGAACAUAAAGUCUGCAAUGGUUUCGAAAGACACAGAUGGGUCUGUAGCUCAGUUGGUUAGAGCGCACCCCUGAUAAGGGUGAGGUCGGUGGUUCAAAUCCACCCAGACCCACCAAUAUUUUGAAUUAUUUUGAAGACCGUUCUUUAACAAUUUGAUGAAUGAAGACAUAUAUAUGUUUGUUAUAUUGUGUUGGAUCGUGCGCGUUUGUGAUGAUCGCGUAGGUGAAGGCGCAGUACCAAUUUUAUGUAUGCUGUAAUUUUAACAAGUUAUACAAGUGCAAAAUCUGUACGGAAAAGUCGUUAUUAGUUGUUUGAAGUAUUCUGUGUAGUUGUGAGUUUUUUUGGCUGAGAGGCCAUCUUUUGAGGACGGCAUUAAAGGGCUGUCCUUGAUCGAGCUAAGACAGAGCUUAUGAUUAUAUGGUCAAGCAAUGAAGCGUACGUGGUGGAUGCCUUGGCAGCUAAAGGCGAUUAAGGACGUGGUAGCA